rnacentral:rRNA from 1 species
UACGUAGGGUGCCGGCGUUAAUCGGAAUUACUGGGCGUAAAGCGUGCGCAGGCGGUCUUUUAAGUCAGAUGUGAAAUCCCCGGGCUUAACCUGGGAACUGCGUUUGAAACUGGAAGGCUAGAGUGUGGCAGAGGGGGGUGGAAUUCCACGUGUAGCAGUGAAAUGCGUAGAGAUGUGGAGGAACACCGAUGGCGAAGGCAGCCCCCUGGGCUAACACUGACGCUCAUGCACGAAAGCGUGGGGAGCAAACAGG